rnacentral:rRNA from 1 species
GUGGGGAAUCUUAGACAAUGGUGGAAACCCUGAUCUAGCCAUGCCGCGUGAGCGAUGAAGGCCUUAGGGUUGUAAAGCUCUUUCAGCUGGGAAGAUAAUGACGGUACCAGCAGAAGAAGCCCCGGCUAACUCCGUGCCAGCAGCCGCGGUAAUACGGAGGGGGCUAGCGUUGUUCGGAAUUCCUGGGCGUAAAGCGCGCGUAGGCGGACCAGAAAGUUGGAGGUGAAAUCCCAGGGCUCAACCUUGGAACUGCCUUCAAAACUCCUGGUCUGGAGUUAGAGAGAGGUGAGUGGAAUUCCGAGUGUAGAGGUGAAAUUCGUAGAUAUUCGGAGGAACACCAGUGGCGAAGGCGGCUCACUGGCUCGAUACUGACGCUGAGGUGCGAAAGCGUGGGGAGCAAACAGGAUUAGAAACCCCGGUAGUCC